UACGUAGGGUGCGAGCGUUGCCCGGAUUUAUUGGGCGUAAAGCGCGCGCAGGCGGCCUCGCGCGCCCGACGUGAAAGCCCCCGGCUUAACCGGGGAGGGUCGUUGGGGACGGCGGGGCUUGAGGGCGGGAGAGGGUGGUGGAAUUCCCGGUGUAGUGGUGAAAUGCGUAGAGAUCGGGAGGAACACCCGUGGCGAAGGCGGCCACCUGGGCCGAUACUGACGCUGAGGAGCGAAAGCGUGGGGAGCGAACAGG
rnacentral:rRNA from 1 species